CGAAGCGUGCGAUUGGAUUGCACGUCUAAGCAGUAAGGCUGAGUAUUAGGCAAAUCCGGUACUCGUUAAGGCUGAGCUGUGAUGGGGAGAAGACAUUGUGUCUUCGAGUCGUUGAUUUCACACUGCCGAGAAAAGCCUCUAGAUAGAAAAUAGGUGCCCGUACCGCAAACCGACACAGGUAGUCAAGAUGAGAAUUCUAAGGUGAGCGAGCGAACUCUCGUUAAGGAACUCGGCAAAAUGACCCCGUAACUUCGGGAGAAGGGGUGCUCUUUAGGGUUAACGCCCAGAAGAGCCGCAGUGAAUAGGCCCAAGCGACUGUUUAUCAAAAACACAGGUCUCUGCUAAACCGUAAGGUGAUGUAUAGGGGCUGACGCCUGCCCGGUGCUGGAAGGUUAAGAGGAGUGGUUAGCUUCUGCGAAGCUACGAAUCGAAGCCCCAGUAAACGGCGGCCGUAACUAUAACGGUCCUAAGGUAGCGAAAUUCCUUGUCGGGUAAGUUCCGACCCGCACGAAAGGCGUAACGAUUUGGGCACUGUCUCAACGAGAGACUCGGUGAAAUCAUAGUACCUGUGAAGAUGCAGGUUACCCGCGACAGGACGGAAAGACCCCGUGGAGCUUUACUGUAGCCUGAUAUUGAAAUUCGGCACAGCUUGUACAGGAUAGGUAGGAGCCUUUGAAACGUGAGCGCUAGCUUACGUGGAGGCGCUGGUGGGAUACUACCCUAGCUGUGUUGGCUUUCUAACCCGCACCACUUAUCGUGGUGGGAGACAGUGUCAGGCGGGCAGUUUGACUGGGGCGGUCGCCUCCUAAAAGGUAACGGAGGCGCUCAAAGGUUCCCUCAGAAUGGUUGGAAAUCAUUCAUAGAGUGUAAAGGCAUAAGGGAGCUUGACUGCGAGACCUACAAGUCGAGCAGGGUCGAAAGACGGACUUAGUGAUCCGGUGGUUCCGCAUGGAAGGGCCAUCGCUCAACGGAUAAAAGCUACCCCGGGGAUAACAGGCUUAUCUCCCCCAAGAGUUCACAUCGACGGGGAGGUUUGGCACCUCGAUGUCGGCUCAUCGCAUCCUGGGGCUGUAGUCGGUCCCAAGGGUUGGGCUGUUCGCCCAUUAAAGCGGUACGCGAGCUGGGUUCAGAACGUCGUGAGACAGUUCGGUCCCUAUCCGUCGUGGGCGUAGGAAAUUUGAGAGGAGCUGUCCUUAGUACGAGAGGACCGGGAUGGACAUACCUCUGGUGUACCAGUUGUCGUGCCAACGGCAUAGCUGGGUAGCUAUGUGUGGACGGGAUAAGUGCUGAAAGCAUCUAAGCAUGAAGCCCCCCUCAAGAUGAGAUUUCCCAACUUCGGUUAUAAGAUCCCUCAAAGAUGAUGAGGUUAAUAGGUUCGAGGUGGAAGCAUGGUGACAUGUGGAGCU
rnacentral:rRNA from 1 species